rnacentral:rRNA from 1 species
AUUGAACGCUGGCGGCAGGCUUAACACAUGCAAGUCGAGCGGAGAUGAGGUGCUAGCACCUUAUCUUAGCGGCGGACGGGUGAGUAAUGCUUAGGAAUCUGCCUAUUAGUGGGGGAUAACAUUCCGAAAGGAAUGCUAAUACCGCAUACGUCCUACGGGAGAAAGCAGGGGAUCUUCGGACCUUGCGCUAAUAGAUGAGCCUAGGUCGGAUUAGCUAGUUGGUGGGGUAAAGGCCUACCAAGGCGACGAUCUGUAGCGGGUCUGAGGGGCUGGACCGCCACACUGGGACUGAGACACGGCCCAGACUCCUACGGGAGGCAGCAGUGGGGAAUAUUGGACAAUGGGGGGAACCCUGAUCUAGCCAUGCCGCGUGUGUGAAGAAGGCCUUAUGGUUGUAAAGCACUUUAAGCGAGGAGGAGGCUACUGAGACUAAUACUCUUGGAUAGUGGACGUUACUCGCAGAAUAAGCACCGGCUAACUCUGUGCCAGCCGCCGCCGUAA